rnacentral:rRNA from 1 species
AUACGGGAGGCAGCAGUGGGGAAUCUUGGACAAUGGGCGCAAGCCUGAUCCAGCCAUGCCGCGUGGGCGAGGAAGGUCUUCGGACUGUAAAGCCCUUUUCUUCGGGAAGAACCGCCUCCGGAGGCAAUGCCGGGGGUCUGACGGUACCGAAGGAAUAAGCAACGGCUAACUCCGUGCCAGCAGCCGCGGUAAUACGGAGGUUGCGAGCGUUGUUCGGAAUGACUGGGCGUAAAGGGAGCGCAGGCGGUUCGGUUUGUCCGGCGUGAAAGCCCGGGGCUCAACCCCGGCGGGCCGUCGGAAACGGCCGAACUUGGAGUACGGAAGAGGAGCGCGGAAUUCCGGGUGUAGCGGUGAAAUGCGUAGAUAUCCGGAGGAACACCGGUGGCGAAAGCGGCGCUCUGGUCCGAUACUGACGCUGAGGCUCGAAAGCGUGGGGAGCAAACGGGAUUAGAUACCCCGGUAGC